rnacentral:tRNA from 1 species
GGGCCCAUGGUCUAGCUGGCUAUGACGUCGCCCUUACAAGGCGAAGGUCGCCGGUUCGAAUCCGGCUGGGCCCACCA